CAGUCGCCGCGGGAAUACGAAGGGGGCUAGCGUUGUUCGGAUUUACUGGGCGUAAAGGGCGCGUAGGCGGACAGAUAAGUCAGGGGUGAAAUCCCAGGGCUCAACCUUGGAACUGCCUUUGAUACUGUUUGUCUUGAGUUCGAGAGAGGUAAGUGGAACUGCGAGUGUAGAGGUGAAAUUCGUAGAUAUUCGCAAGAACGCCAGUGGCGAAGGCGGCUUACUGGCUCGAAACUGACGCUGAGGCGCGAAAGCGUGGGGAGCAAACAGGAUUAGAUACCCGUGUAGUCCCUGUCUCUUAUAC
rnacentral:rRNA from 1 species